rnacentral:rRNA from 1 species
AGGGAAUAGAUACCCGGGUAGUCCUGGCAGUAAACGGUGCGCGUUUGGUGUGGGAGGAUUCGACCCCUUCUGUGCCGGAGCUAAACGCGUUAAAAACGCGCCGCCUGGGGAGUACGGUCGCAAGAUUAAAACUCAAAGAAAUUGACGGGGCCCGCACAAGCGGUGGAGUAUGUGGCUUAAUUCGAUGCAACGCGAAGAACCUUACCUAGCCUUGACAUGCAUCUCUAAGUCGGUGAAAGCCGGCGAGUGUAGCAAUACACAAUUUGCACAGGUGCUGCAUGGCUGUCGUNAGCUCGUGUCGUGAGAUGUUGGGUUAAGUCCCGC